AUGAGCAGUUCAGUAAACUCCAGGUUGCUGUCCAUGGAGGAUAGGUUGGCUGCUUUGGAGUCAAAAAACUGUGCGGAAGAGACUAACUCUAAGAGAAGAGGGGUGCACAAUCCCAAGACUGCAGAAACAGUACGCCGUCGUCACAACUCGGAGACAAAUUGUAGGUUCUACGAACUGGAGCAAGGACUAACCUCGUCUCAUAUUGAGGCCGUGACCUCCUAUUUGCUCGGCGCUAUGUCUGCAAGUCUAGAUUUACAGGAUGCUGAUAAUGACGACAUUGUGUCUGCCUGUAAGACCUAUUACGAGACAGUACGCAGGAGCUUCAGGUACAAACAACCAGACCUUGCACCGCAGGCGGAAGCUGAAGAGUUCAGCUCAGAGUUGAUCGAGAAGAAAGACGCUGCUGGAAGCGAGCCAGUGUGCUAUAUGAGGAAGAGGGGGAACUUUGGAAGUCCGCCACCAUAGACCUGAUGUCUGAAGAUGACGUCGUUGGCGGGUGUCUGGAUGGAUUGUGCGACUUCCGUCCUUUCGCAGCCAGGAGCUCACCGAGCUCUGUGCCACACUGCAGUCGAUUAGAGGCGACUCCGAAGUACAGGGCAACGCACCACAGACGUCUGCAAAAUGGGCCAAAUUCAGACAGAAUGCUGCCAGUUAACUACAGCUCCGAGGCGGCAAACAGCCACUUCACGGUGCUGUAGGAUUUUGGGCUUCUCGUGAGCUUCCAUUUGUUGUGUGGGCAGAUCUCACUUUGUACAUAGUUGUGUGUUUGUGCUAAUAAAGCUCUUUCUUUGAAUAAACAUGUUCCUGGCAAAUGUUCCUUUCCUCAAUAAAUUCAUUCAUG
rnacentral:lncRNA from 1 species